rnacentral:tRNA from 1 species
GCUCUCAUAGCUCAACGGAUAGAGCAUCUCCCUUCUAAGGAGGCGAUGUGAGUUCGAUUCUCACUGAGAGCGCCA